CUCUCCUCACGGUGGAGAGGCUGGGUAGAGGAUCUUUACUGUGGCAGGAGAAAAAAGGAUACUUCAGACUCCAUAGCCUGCAGGAGAGAGCCACAGCAAAGUUACAUGAGAGAACAGCAGCGGGGCAUCUCCAUCAAACACAAACACUGGCCUGAUGCGGAAGAAGAGCAGCUUGCAGAUGCGGUGGAA